rnacentral:lncRNA from 1 species
CAAGUUCCUUGAUCCAACAAGACAAUUCCUAGCUUGAAUGGGUGAGAAAUGAAAAAUCAAUGAAGCUUUGUGUGAGAGGGAGAGAAGGACGGUUUGUGAGAGAAGAGAAGGAGAGGUUUCACAAUUUUUUUCUAAGUCCCAAAAGUCUACCAAACAAAACCUAUGACAAGUGGUCUUGCUCCACCAUGACCACUUGAUCAAAAGCACUUUCCCUUGGCCAAUCCUAGCCCUCCAAUUCCCUUACACAAAUAUCUAGAUAUUUCUAACACACCCCACAACCUUCGCGCGCCGCGACGAGCAAAAUUCGUAAAAACCGAAAACUUACGGAACGAACGUCCGUCUCAAAAUAUUUCCAAAACUUAUCGCCGAAUCUUUUUUCCGCGACUGUAAUUUUCUUCCACGCUCUCGAAAAUUAAUCUCAGGACAUAUCCUAACUCGCGCAGAUAUAUAAACCUUCUAUCUAAAAUUUUACUGAAUUCCGAAACCGUAAAAUUUUACGCAGCGGGUAAAAUAUUGCCCGUUUUCUCGAAAACUAGAACAACUCGAAAAAUGGAUCUCUAAAGUCGCAGGAACAACCUCAUCCAUAAAAGAAGACUAAUGAAAUCAACCUCAUGCUAUUCCGACACUCGAGCGCGAAACAAGCACGAUUUCUGCGAAACCGCCUCUUACGGAAACGAUCAUAACUUGAGUUCCGAUUGUCCAAUUGAGACGCACCAAUAAUUGUUGGAAAGCUAACGACGAGAUCUACAACUUUCAUGUUGACCAUAAAAACCAAAUCAAAACGCAAAGGGGGCAAAAGGCACGUAUACGUUCAGACUUCACACAAAACAGUUUUUCUACACUUGUUUUCAACGCAACGUGCUUACGAAUUUGAAAAACGACUCAAUUGACUUCAACCAAACAUUCAUUUUAUUCCAAAUACAACGAACACUUAAUAUCCUUAAUGUACAAUGAAAUUAUGGGUCUUACAAUAUUUUAAUUAUGUCUACAAAAAAUCAUUCAAAAUUUAAAAUUUUAAUGAUAAUUAAACAAAUUUAAUUUUAAUAGAGACUAAAAUUAUGUCCAAGAAAAAUUUAGAAGAACUAAAAAUAUAAUAAAAAUUAAGUAAAAGUCCUGAUUUUAUAAUAACUAAAAAUAUAUUUAACUCUUAUUUAAAAAAACAAAAUCGUCCAAGUUAUGGAUUAAUGCAAGGAAUCUCUACUCAAAAACAAAUAAAAAAUAUAAGAAUAUCAAUACAAAAAAAUAUGAUAAUAUACCCAUGAAAAAAUGCAUUUUAAAAAAUGGAGGUAACAACAACAGAAUAAAAAAAAAUGAUCUGAAUGAAAUGCUUGAUUACCUUUCAUGAGUCAUUUCCGUUCGGUGCACAAAGUAUCUUCCUUCCCCCUUUCUCAAAUUGCAAGCAGAAACAUGAAAGAAGCAAUAAAUCUUCUAUCUAAAAAAAAAAUGAAAGAAGCAAUAACAGCUAAGAGAGACUAUAACAAUUGUAACCACAAUAAUGUAGGGCUUCACAACAACCUACCUUUUAGUGCUUAUCCAAGUGCAUGACAUCGAUUCAUGCAAAGGCAUGACUCGAGACAUGACAUUUCAAAUUCAGUUUUAUGCAUUUAUCUUUAUUAAAACAUGCCUAAAACAUACCCAUUCAAUCCUAGUUCAUCACACUUUAUAAAAAAACAACUUCUAAUCAUGAUUUUAACACAAUAGUGAGCUUUGGGUAAGGGGAAGCUCAUUAUACACCAUCCUUACAUAAAUUGAAUUAUUGUUGAAAACUUACACGAUAGAUUGGGGAAAAACUAAGAACUGUCAUGCAUGUUUCAUGUUCAUCAAAAUCAUCAUUAUAACGAACAUUAGGAGUAUACCGGGUACUUAAUACUCCAAUUUACCAUUUGUUUCUAACCUAAGGUUUACAAUUAGUUCUUAAUUUGGCCAAACUUAAAAGGUAGGCUAACCUAAAGGAACCCACCUGUGAAUUUCCAGCAGCUCCAAGCUAUUCUUUACACCUUUAUGCAUCUGUUUGAGCGGCUCAAGCAUGCCAAACCCGCUGCCAAAAAUUCUGUAAUUCUACAGCAUCAGGACCCUAUCUUAAAACACAUCUCCAUUCCUCAUUACUAACCCAAAACCUAUGAAAGAGGUACUCAAACUUUAGGGAAUUUCGUCUGGAUUAUGAAACUUUAACCAUUGUUCAAAUCUGGGUCACAGAGUGAAUGUUAUGACAGAAAUACUAGUGAUAGGUCCAUACGAAUUUAUGCAGAAUU